ACGUAUUAACGUCUGAUGGCCCUUUCACGCUUCUGUAGAAUCAACAAUUAUUACACGAAAUUCAUUUUAAAAAUAUUUCUGAAAUGUCUAGGUUGCCGCUUUCAAAUACGAAAAUAUCUGACAUCCGAUGAAUAUAUAUACUGACAUUUUUAGACAACAGCAAAAAGGACCUUUUAAACGAUUUCACGAAGUUCCAAAAAUCUCCAUAUACCCUUCCUCCGGCACGGACACCUGUGGGAUUUAAUAAGUAUUUUCUAAUUGCUUUAGUUAAACUAAAUCAACACAAAAAUAAAGGAAAUAAUUACAAGUUGUUAUAUAAUUUUUCCUUAAAGAUAGGGCAAUUACAAAUGUGAAAGAUUCCCGUUUCAUUUUUAUGCACUUUUAUCACAUUUACUGUAUCGUAAGUCAGGCUCAACAUACGAUGUUGAUAAGGUAUGCUUUGAGUUAUCGAAAUAGCAUUACCUUAGUGUUACCUUAACACUAUCGUAAAUAACCUCGAAAUUCAGCGAUAUCGUAAGUUUCGAGUUAGCCACCCCAGGACUGUCUUACGCUUAUUUUGAAUAUGUAUAAUUUUUAAUUGAUAUAGAUUAAGUGAAAUAAGUGCAGUUUCUUCUAAUACAGAGAACAGUCAUUACGGGUAGAAACUAGAGGCUAUUUUUUUAUAGCAAUUCCCGUAUUGAUGUUCUUUUCAUAAAUACACUGUACAUCAUUUGGUGCAUUUCGACAAAGACAUACAGGAGCGUAGGAGCAGGGGUGGGGACAUGGGGGCACGUGCCCACAAAUCCUGGCCAAAAUUGACCAAACUUCUUAAUUUUACACUGAAAAUUACGAAAAUUUUAGAUGUGCCCCCUGCGUCAGUGAUUAUGAAAACAUAGGUUGUGCUGCACCCACCUCCAAAUGCUUCCUAUGGGCCUGCAACGUAAUAGACGUACUUAUAUAUUAUUGUAUAACUUUUGUAGACAAAUUAUACAUGUAUAUACGUUAUUUGUAAACCUGCACUAGGUUUCUCCAUUUCUUUUCUAAGUUUACAGCAAUGUUUUCCUGAAAUAUAGCUGUUGUACAAGUAUCUGGUCAGAGUUUUUAGGAAGAUGUUGUGCGGAAGUAUACUUUCCCUAUCAAAAUGCUCCUUAACUUAUUUGAAGGAGACGAGUUAAUACAAGGAUAUUUUUUCGCCGGGUACACUUACAGCGAGAUUAUAACAAUUUUGAAUCGACGUCAUGGCACUACGAUCAGGUAAGGUACAUAUAAGAUUCUUUCACUGGUGAUAGGUGCAGAUGGGAAUAUUCGGCUGGAGGGUAACUGUUUUUGGCGGUAACGAGGCUCUUGCCAAGUUACGGCUUAAACAGUUACCCGAGAGCCGGAUAUUUCCAUCUGCACCUACCUACAGUGAUUGAAUCUUUUUCUUGCAUGCCAUAUUCAACAAAUAAUAGUAAAAAUAAACUCAAACAAAUAAUUUUUAUAGCACUUUUUUCUUAUACAAUGUAGUAGCGUAUGAACAAAGCGCGGGAACUUUACGUCAAUAAACAGGAAGUACGUAAUGACGUUACAAACACGAAAACAACGUAAUAGUUCCGGUUUUGUUUUAUCAUCUGCAGUAAAACGUUAUGUUUUUCCGUAAAAUGACGUUUUUGGAAUCGAGAAAUAUGUUAUAAGGGACAACGAGAAACUAUCAAGCCUCAGACAGCUUAGCAGGCGCCUAAGGUUGCUUGGUCUUAGAAGACACAAUAUGCCAGGAAAUGAAGGCACAGUUAUUGAAGUUAUCCGUCAUGAAAUUGAGGGAAGCGGCUCCUCACUCGGAUACAGAGCUAUGACUCGACGUCUACUGUCUUCGUACGGCAUAGUUGCUUCAAGGUAAGGAUUAUUUAAAAACAAAAACACAAAAAAAACUACAAAAAAAAAACAAACAAACAAAAAACAAUGAUAUCAUAAGCGGAAAGCGAUUUUUUAAUGUCAGCUAGGGAAAUUAAUGUUACAGGUGCAUGCGUACACGUAGUAAUUAUCAAAUAAAGCAGUACUUGACCCUGGUUAGAGGGACAACAUGUGAUGCAGAGACGUGCUUUCGGUUCGGCUACGUUUGGUAGCUUGGUUAUCCAUCAUGGAGUUUUAGUUUUCCUUUUCGUGCCUAAAACGUGCAAAUGAAUAAGA